UACGGGGGGGGCAAGCGUUGUUCGGAAUUACUGGGCGUAAAGGGCUCGUAGGUGGCCAACUAAGUCAGACGUGAAAUCCCCAGGCUCAACUUGGGAACUGCGUCUGAUACUGGAUGGCUUGAAUUCGGGAGAGGGAUGCAGAAUUCCAGGUGUAGCGGUGAAAUGCGUAGAGAUGUGGAGGAACACCAGUGGCGAAGGCGACUUUCUGGGCUGUAACUGACGCUGAGGCGCGAAAGCGUGGGGAGCAAACAGG
rnacentral:rRNA from 1 species